rnacentral:rRNA from 4 species
GAAGAAGCACCGGCUAACUCCGUGCCAGCAGCCGCGGUAAUACGGAGGGUGCAAGCGUUAAUCGGAAUUACUGGGCGUAAAGCGCACGCAGGCGGUCUGUCAAGUCGGAUGUGAAAUCCCCGGGCUCAACCUGGGAACUGCAUUCGAAACUGGCAGGCUUGAGUCUUGUAGAGGGGGGUAGAAUUCCAGGUGUAGCGGUGAAAUGCGUAGAGAUCUGGAGGA